AAGCAUAUCAAUAAGCGGAGGAAAAGAAACUAACAAGGAUUCCCCUAGUAACUGCGAGUGAAGCGGGAAGAGCUCAAAUUUGGAAUCUGGCGGUCCUUGACCGUCCGAGUUGUAAUCUAGAGAAGUGUUACCUGUGCUGGACCGUGUAAAAGUCUUCUGGAAUGAAGCAUCACAGAGGGUGAGAAUCCCGUCUUUGACAUGGACUGCCAGUGCGCCAUGGUGCGCUCUCAAAGAGUCGAGUUGUUUGGGAAUGCAGCUCAAAAUGGGUGGUAAAUGCCAUCUAAAGCUAAAUAUUGGCGAGAGACCGAUAGCGAACAAGUACCGUGAGGGAAAGAUGAAAAGAACUUUGGAAAGAGAGUUAAACAGUAUGUGAAAUUGCUGAAAGGGAAACGCUUGAAGUCAGUCGUGUCAGCAAGAAAUCAGCCUUGCUUUUGCGUGGCGUACUUUCUUGUCUGACAGGUCAGCAUCAAUUUUGAUCGUCGGAAAAGGUCUUUGGGAAUGUGGCAUCUUUGGAUGUGUUAUAGCCCAUUGUCGUAUACGGUGAUCGGGAUUGAGGAACUCAGCACACCGCAAGGCCGGGUCUUGACCACGCUUGUGCUUAGGAUGCUGGCAUAAUGGCUUUAAUCGACCCGUCUUGAAACACGGACCAAGGAGUCUAACAUGCCUGCGAGUGUUUGAGUGGAAAACUCAUUCGCGCAAUGAAAGUGAAAGGUUGAGAUCCCUUCAGGGGGAGCAUUGACGCCCGGACCAGACCUUCUGUGACGGAUCCGCGGUAGAGCAUGCAUGUUGGGACCCGAAAGAUGGUGAACUAUGCCUGAAUAGGGUGAAGCCAGAGGAAACUCUGGUGGAGGCUCGUAGCGAUUCUGACGUGCAAAUCGAUCGUCAAAUUUGGGUAUAGGGGCGAAAGACUAAUCGAACCAUCUAGUAGCUGGUUCCUGCCGAA
rnacentral:rRNA from 1 species